GAUUAGAAUAAUUUUUUUAAAAAAAAAAUUGAACUCUUAAUUUUGCCUCAACAUUAAAUAUAAAUAUAUUUCCUAAGGCAUAAUUUAUAUUCCCAAAAUGUUACAUGUUGAUGACUAAACAUAGUUGUUUCCUUUCCUUAGGAAUUCCUUUUUAUGAUCUUGCUUAAAAACAUAGUAUUAAAAGAAAUAAGAAGGUUGAUUAGGUCAAUCUAGGGAUGGUAACGGGGUAAGUUCAAGAGAGUCACCUCUGUCCCAACCCCACCUCGCUUAUUCAAAAUGAUUCUUAUCCUCGUCUCAUUAAAGAAAUUAAAUAGGG
rnacentral:lncRNA from 1 species